rfam:Gossypium raimondii Chr11_contig_1369, whole genome shotgun sequence.
AAUAAGAGAAUGACAAAUCAGAUUGUUUUCCUGAUUUGCAGCUUUUUUUCUCCUGCAAAAAUUCAAAUUCAACAAAAAAAUGCUACAAAUCGGGGGAAAAAAAUCUGAUUUAUCAUUCUCCUAUU